rnacentral:rRNA from 1 species
UACGUAGGGUGCGAGCGUUGUCCGGAAUUAUUGGGCGUAAAGAGCUUGUAGGCGGUUUGUCGCGUCUGCUGUGAAAUCUCAAGGCUCAACCUUGAGCUUGCAGUGGGUACGGGCAGACUAGAGUGUGGUAGGGGAGACUGGAAUUCCUGGUGUAGCGGUGAAAUGCGCAGAUAUCAGGAAGAACACCAAUGGCGAAGGCAGCUCUCUGGGACGGUACUGACGCUGAGACGCGAAAGCGUGGGGAGCGAACAGG